CACUCUGGUGGCUUAGUGGCUAGAGCAUCAACCUCAGAUGAUGAAGGUCGUGGGUUCGAUCCCCAGUUGAGUCA